rnacentral:rRNA from 1 species
UACGGAAGGGGCAAGCGUUGUUCGGAAUCAUUGGGCGUAAAGCGUGCGCAGGCGGUUUGCUAAGACAGGUGUGAAAUCCCCGGGCUUAACCUGGGAACUGCGCUUGUUACUGGCAGGCUUGAGUGUGGCAGAGGGGGGUGGAAUUCCACGUGUAGCAGUGAAAUGCGUAGAGAUGUGGAGGAACACCGAUGGCGAAGGCAGCCCCCUGGGCUAACACUGACGCUCAUGCACGAAAGCGUGGGGAGCAAACAGG